GUGCUCAAAGACAAAUAUGGGUCGGAGCAGGAGCGGGGGGGAGAACAGGCGUGCGGGAGCAGCUCGGGGGUGUGACACUGCGAAGUACCCGGCUAAUUUUAGAGGUGCGGGAUGGAAGCACAGACCGCGCUGCGGGGGCGUGGCCACUGCCGAGAGGGGGCGUGGUCACCGCUUGGGGGCGUGGCCAGGCGGGCGUCUCCGCUCUUGCCGUUGCUAGGUGACACAGGGCCGCCUCACAGCUCCGAGCGGCGCAGUCUGGUAGGACCGGGGCAGGGGGUAAAGAACGGAGUGAGGCCGAGAACGCGGAAUCGGGCUGAGGGCGGCGGCCGGGCACUGCUGCUCGCCCCCCCCCCGCGCCGCACGCGACCCCUUCUCACCCUCACCAACGCCGCGGGCGGCUCUGCGCAGGCGCGACGGACACCGAGGGGAGCGGGCAGCGCCCCCUGGCGGUCCCGCAGGACCUCCUGCCGGCGGUUGGGCCGCGGGUUCGAGUCCCGCUCUCUCCGCUCGCAGGUGGCCGCCAUGUCGGCUCGCAGCUCCCGGAGCGCCCCCGUGCUGCCCGCCGGCCUCGAGGAGGUGCUGCAGGGGAUGGCCCGGGAGGUGCUGCGGGCGCAGCCCGACGACGUGCUGGGCUUCAUCACCAACUACUUCCAGGCGCUGCUGGCUGAGAGGGAGCAGAGCUCUGCUCCCCAAAGGACCGAGGAGACCAGGGACGUGGAGAGCAAGGGCGUGGAGGCCCAGGGUGAGGAGGCCGAGGCGCCGCAGAGCAGCGCUGUGACUGCCGGCACGGUGCGGGAGCUCCAGGAGCAGCAGUGCUGGUGGGGAGGUGGGCUGAGCGGCGCGCCCCGAGGAAGCGCAUUACGUAGGCAAGCGGCUCCGCUCAACUUGCCACCUGUGCUGAGAGCGAGCCCCGCACCGCCAUGGACUGCUGCAACGAGGGCGCCUGCACGAAGCUGGAUGAGGACAUCCUGGACAUCCCCCUGGAUGACCCCGAUGCCAACGCGGCGGCGGCCAAGAUCCAGGCCAGCUUCCGUGGGCACAUGACCCGCAAGAAGAUCAAGGGGGGGGAGAUGGACCGGAAAGCCAAGGAUGCCGAGUGCGCCAACAGCACCCGUGGCGGAGACCUCCGCAACGGCGACUAGGCCCUGCCGGAUUCCCCCCGCCGAGCCCCCCCGCUGCUGAGGAGCCCCCGCUUCUCCCCAUACCACCCCAGCAUGCGUCCCCCACCCCCCCCCACUCCAGCCCCAAUAAAGGUCCCUGCCAGC